rnacentral:rRNA from 1 species
GACGUAGGGGGCAAGCGUUGUUCGGAAUCAUUGGGCGUAAAGCGCUCGUAGGCGGUCGAUUAAGUCGGAUGUGAAAACCCAGGGCUCAACCCUGUGCCUGCAUUCGAAACUGAUCGACUCGAGUCCAGAAGAGGCAAGUGGAAUUCCCGGUGUAGCGGUGGAAUGCGCAGAUAUCGGGAAGAACACCAGUGGCGAAGGCGGCUUGCUGGGAUGUGACUGACGCUGAGGAGCGAAAGCUAGGGGAGCAAACAGG